rnacentral:rRNA from 1 species
UACGAAGGGGGCUAGCGUUGUUCGGAAUUACUGGGCGUAAAGGGCGCGUAGGCGGCCUGCUAAGUCGGACGUGAAAUCCCUCGGCUCAACCGGGGAACUGCGUCCGAUACUGGUGGGCUCGAAUCCGGGAGAGGGAUGUGGAAUUCCAGGUGUAGCGGUGAAAUGCGUAGAUAUCUGGAGGAACACCGGUGGCGAAGGCGGCGUUCUGGACUGUUUCUGACACUGAGGAACGAAAGCCAGGGGAGCAAACGGG